AUUCCAAUUUUAUUUUUUAUGCCGUAUUAUUAUAUUGUUUAUACUCCGUCAUCCCGGAGGUACGUAGUAGCUAGUGAUCACAAAAUUGCUUUGUGCGAGCACUGGCGCACUAUAAUAAACCCACGAUAAUACGUCGCGUAUUAUAUUAUUAUAGCCAAUAAAAUCCUCUAGUUGAGUAUACCAUAUAAAAUGGAUCAUAACGUAUCGAGUUCAAGGCCACGUGUUUUCUUUUAUUUCAACCACAAUACGGGAUUUUGUUGACAUUUUUUCUCUAUUCCGUUUUAAAUUUAAUACGUGCAAAACAAGGUUGUGCUACUCAAUUUUGGUCGAUAAAAAUUACAAAUUCUUCAUGGCACCAUACAACUCACCAAUAAGAGUGAUAACCGCCAUGCACUUGCGACGGAGCAGGGCUCAUUUAUUCAGUAAAAAUUCAUGCAAUCAAGGGUUAAGUUUUAUCUAUUUUGUAGGCUUUUUGUCGUUUUCUU